CGUGAAGCUGGAUUCGCUAGUAAUCGCGCAUCAGCCAUGGCGCGGUGAAUACGUUCCCGGGCCUUGUACACACCGCCCGUCAAGCCAUGGGAGCCGGGGGGUGCCUGAAGUGCGCUGCCGCAAGGAGCGCCCUAGGGUAAAACCGGUGACUGGGGCUAAGUCGUAACAAGGUAUC
rnacentral:rRNA from 1 species